rnacentral:rRNA from 1 species
GCAUGCAAGUCGAACGAGAAACUGUGUGUUCAAUCUGUCAAAGGAGAGAACACGUGGUGGAGAGUGGCGGAAGGGUGAGGAACGCGUGGGUAACCUAUCCUUAAGUUGGGGAUAACUUCGCGAAAGCGGGGCUAAUACCGAAUGUGGUUCUCCAAUGCAUAUUGGGGUCACUAAAGGCGGGGAUUCUUCGGAACCUGUCGCUUGAGGAGGGGCCCGCGUCCUAUCAGCUAGUUGGAGAGGUAACGGCUCACCAAGGCUUACGGGUAGCUGGUCUGAGAGGAUGGCCAGCCACACUGGGACUGAGACACUGCCCAGACUCCUACGGGAGGCUGCAGUCGAGGAUCAUUUGCAAUGCGCGAAAGCGUGACAAUGCGACGCUGCGUGGAGGAUGAAGGCCUUCGGGUUGUAAACUCCUGUCAUUCGGGAACAAUAGUUUCGAAGCUAAUAUCUUCGAGAAAUGAUGGUACCGGAAGAGGAAACGGUUGCUAACUCUGUGCCAGCCGCCGCGGUAAUACA